GAAGUUCGCCAGGCAGUCGCUGCGCACCUCGUCGUGCGUGGAGGAAAGUCCGGGCCCCGCAGAGCAGGAUGCCGGCUAACGGCCGGGCGCCGUGAGGCGACGGAAAGUGCAACAGAGAGCAGACCGCCGAUGGCCCGUGCAACGGGAUCAGGCAAGGGUGAAACGGUGAGGUAAGAGCUCACCGCAGGACUGGCAACAGGACUGGCACGGCAAACCCCAUCCGGGGCAAGGCCAAAUAGGGGAGCAUUGGCGUGGCUCGCGUCGCUCCCGGGUAGGCUGCUAGAGCGCCACGGUAACGGGGCGCCCAGAGGAAUGACUGCCCGAUGUCGCCGGCUUGCCGGCGAUGUUCGACAGAACCCGGCUUAUCGGCGAACUUCCCCA
rnacentral:RNase_P_RNA from 1 species